CUACAGAGCACCAAUCACUACUUGUCUACUUAUUAUUGCUAAAACGUUCGUCCGCUUCAGUUGUUUCGCGUACACAUAUUGUGACUGAUCUUUUUGAACGUCUCAUAUAGUGUUCAGUGUUUGUGUAAUAUAUAAAAUAACUUAAUACAAAAGAAAAUGGAUUCUUCGACUAUCAAAGAAAGUAACACUACACAUAAAACGGUUAAGUACAACGAUGAAACUAGAUCUGGCUGGAAAUUCUGGAAGAAAAGAAGAUAUAUCGUGGCAUUAUUGGCCUUUUUAGGAUUUUUCACGUCUUAUAUUUUACGUGUUAAUCUCAGUGUUGCAAUCGUUGCUAUGACCGCUGUUACUAAAGUAGUUGAUGAAAAUGGCAUUAUUACUUAUAAACAAGAAUUUAAUUGGGAUUCGAAAAUACAAGGAUAUGUUCUGAGUUCCUUUUUUUAUGGGUAUAUUAGUACACAGUUACUAGGAGGAUGGUUAGCUGCUCGCAUUGGUGGAAAAAGAGUCUUUGGUAUAGGAAUUGCAGUAACAGCGUUUUUUACUAUCAUCACACCGCCACUUGUCAAGAUAAGCGUUUACCUUCUUAUUGCAUUGCGUAUAAUCGAGGGUAUUUGUGAGGGUGUAACUUAUCCUUGCAUACACGCAAUCUGGGCGAACUGGGCACCACCCUUAGAAAGAUCCAAAUUAGCUACGAUAGCAUUUUCUGGUAGUUUUUUCGGAACAGUUUUUGCUAUGCCUGUUGCUGGAUUGAUGGCCGAACAUAUAGGGUGGCCGUCUAUUUUUUAUAUUUUUGGAGCAAUCGGUCUUAUUUGGUUUGUAUGUUGGUGGAUUGUGGUAAAAGACAAACCGGAAGAUGAUGCUUUUAUUUCCAUGGAGGAAUUAGAGUAUAUCACUGCUACUUUAAGCGAUGACGAAAAGAAAGAGAAAAUUAUUCAUCCAUGGAAAGCCAUGUUUACUUCACCACCAGUAUGGGCUAUAGUUGCAGCACACUUUAGUGAAAAUUGGGGUUUUUACACAAUGCUUACUCAACUUCCGACCUUUAUGAAAGAUGUACUCGACUUCAAGUUGGAUACGACAGGUUAUUUGUCGGCACUCCCAUAUCUGGUGAUGACACUUGUCGUCCAAUUUUCUGGGCAAUUGGCCGACUGUCUUAGAACAAGGAAAAUCCUAACUACGACACAAGUACGCAAAAUCUUUAAUUGCGGAGCCUUUCUCUUCCAGACUGUUUUUAUGAUUUACUCGGCUUUCAUUUCGACUCCAAUAGGCGUCGUCAUGUGUAUAACCUUGGCCGUCGGACUUGGCGGCUUUGCUUGGUCUGGUUUUGGAGUAAACCAUUUGGAUAUUGCUCCACAACAUGCAAGUGUGUUAAUGGGAAUCGGAAACACUGUCGCAACUUUACCAGGCAUAAUUAGUCCUAUCAUCACUGGUUAUAUAGUACAAAACAAGGCAAGAUAGGAGACGCAAGCUGAGAGUAGGAAAGUCGAGGUAAAGGGGAAGAGGUUAGGAGGUUAGGAGACAGCGCAAGAAAUCAUGCAGAGAGAAAACAAGGAUAAAGUUUUAGAGGAAGUAAAGGAUCGUUAUAAAAAAGUCAGAGGAAACCAACAAAGGAAACUAGUAAUGGAUAGCGGGAAAUAAGAGUGUCUCAGAAUGGCGGACAGUUUUCAUUAUUGCCGGUUCAAUCUACCUUCUGGGAGCUGUUAUAUACGGUGUAUUUGCGUCGGGCGAGAAACAAAGAUGGGCCGAUCCACAAACAA
rnacentral:misc_RNA from 1 species